rnacentral:piRNA from 1 species
UCAAUAAAUCUCCUGGGAGAUGGUGGAAGC